CUCCGCCCCUGCUGGGUGAGAACAACCUCCCAGGAACUUGAACGGAUCCAACGUGCAGCUAUUUACCCCGUGGGCAACAGCAAGGGGCAGGCAGGAACGACCUUGGUAGCAGGAGCCAGUGUCAGGCCGGGCGGGGAUUGGCUCAGCCAGCCCCCCUCCCUCCUCCCCUAAUCGCGCACGUGGGCAAGAAGUGGGGGCUGGGACAGAACCUCACCUGGGAGCCCGGCAGGGGGCGGGGCCACUGACGUCACGGGCGACGGUGGCCCCGGGCCCCGCCAAACCCUCUCAGCCAGGGGCGCCGCAGGAUGGGGGAGGGGAGGGGAGAGGGAGCGAGCCACUGCGUCCCCCACCGCCCACCUGGUCUCCUGGUUGCUGAAUUUCUUGGUGACCACCUUGCCCAGCUCCAGCCCGAGCCGGUCGGCCACCCGCUGGGACAGGUCCUGGAUUGACAACCUAUAUGUUCCUGUGGAGCCAUUGGAUCCAUCCAGCAGAGCAGAGGGUUCAGCAGCACCCCCUAGCAGGGGCUUUGCCCCCCAAUCCUGUGGCAGAGAGAACAUCUGAUGGUAUCUCUCAAAUUUUGUCAGCAUCCAAGAAGCUAGAAAUUUACUGGUACUUUUUAAAAUUUGAAGCUAAGAUUCUCACCUAAUUGCUGGUCUUCAGGAUCUGGGACUUCAGGCUAAACAACAAAUAUGGU
rnacentral:lncRNA from 1 species